rnacentral:rRNA from 1 species
CCUACGGGUGGCAGCAGUGGGGAAUAUUGGACAAUGGGCGAAAGCCUGAUCCAGCCAUGCCGCGUGUGUGAAGAAGGCCUUCGGGUUGUAAAGCACUUUCAGUGGGGAAGAAAGCCUUGGGGCUAAUACCCUCGAGGAAGGACAUCACCCACAGAAGAAGCACCGGCUAACUCCGUGCCAGCAGCCGCGGUAAUACGGAGGGUGCGAGCGUUAAUCGGAAUUACUGGGCGUAAAGCGCGCGUAGGCGGUCUGAUAAGCCGGUUGUGAAAGCCCCGGGCUCAACCUGGGAACGGCAUCCGGAACUGUCAGGCUAGAGGGCAGGAGAGGAAGGUAGAAUUCCCGGUGUAGCGGUGAAAUGCGUAGAGAUCGGGAGGAAUAACAGUGGCGAAGGCGGCCUUCUGGACUGACACUGACGCUGAGGUGCGAAAGCGUGGGUAGCAAACAGGAUUAGAUACCCCGGUAGUC